CAGUUCGGAUUGUAGGCUGCAACUCGCCUACAUGAAGUCGGAGUUGCUAGUAAUCGCGGAUCAGAAUGCCGCGGUGAAUACGUUCCCGGGCCUUGUACACACCGCCCGUCACACCAUGGGAGCCGGUAAUACCCGAAGUCAGUAGUCUAACCGCAAGGGGGACGCUGCCGAAGGUAGGAUUGGCGACUGGGGUGAAGUCGUAACAAGGUAGC
rnacentral:rRNA from 1 species